rnacentral:tRNA from 1 species
GGGCCCGUAGCUCAGCUGGUUAGAGCACUUGCAUGGCAUGCAAGAGGUCGCUGGUUCGAAUCCAGUCGGGUCCA